rnacentral:rRNA from 1 species
CCAAUAGCGUAUAUUAAAGUUGUUGCAGUUAAAAAGCUCGUAGUUGAACUUCGGGGUCUACCCAUUGGUCAGGCUUAAUUGUCUGUACUGGUGAGAUGGAUCUCUACCUUCUGAGGAACUUUCAUGCCAUUUAUUUGGUGUGGUUGGAAAUCAGGACUGUUACUUUGAAAAAAUUAGAGUGUUUAAAGCAGACUAUCGUCUGAAUACAUUAGCAUGGAAUAAUGAAAUAGGACGGACUGAUUCUAUUUCGUUGGUUUCUAGGAUCACCGUAAUGAUUAAUAGGGAUAGUUGGGGGCAUUAGUAUUCAAUUGUCAGAGGUGAAAUUCUUGGAUUUAUUGAAGACUAACUACUGCGAAAGCAUUUGCCAAGGAUGUUUUCAUUAAUCAAGAACGAAAGUUAGGGGAUCGAAGACGAUCAGAUACCGUCGUAGUCUUAACCAUAAACUAUGCCGACUAGGGAUCGGACGAAGUUAAUUUUUUAACGACUUGUUUGGUACCUUACG